UGAGGAAUUUUGCGCAAUGGGAGCAAUCCUGACGCAGCAACGGCGCGUGGGUGAUGAAGGCCUUCGGGUCGUAAAGCCCUGUCAGGUGGGAAGAAUGUCCCGGGACUGAACAGGUUCCGGGAGUGACGGUACCACCAGAGGAAGCACCGGCUAACUCCGUGCCAGCAGCCGCGGUAAUACGGAGGGUGCAAGCGUUAUUCGGAAUUACUGGGCGUAAAGCGCGGGUAGGCGGUCCUGCAAGUCUGAUGUGAAAGCCCCGGGCUUAACCCGGGAAGUGCAUUGGAAACUGUGGGACUUGAGUACUGGGGAGGAUGGGGGAAUUCCCGGUGUAGAGGUGAAAUUCGUAGAGAUCGGGAGGAAUAUCAGUGGCGAAGGCGCCCAUCUGGACGGUAACUGACGCUGAGACGCGAAAGCGUGGGGAGCAAACA
rnacentral:rRNA from 1 species